rnacentral:lncRNA from 1 species
AUCUUUCUAUCCCAGAUGCUCCACAGAACCUCGCCAUCAGCAUCUUCUUCAGAAAUGGCACAGGCACAGCCCCCUGAGGAUCUCACUCAUGACUGAAACAUCAUUUGAGGGGUGAUCACCUCCAGAUCCUCAGCUGGACAAGCCUCACAUCGUCUGGGGGCCUCAGUAUCUUCACCUGCGGCGUCCAGUCGGGGUGGGAGCAGAAUGGCUUCCCAGCCCCCGCCUCACCCCAACAGCACGUGAUGCCCAAGUUCCCCUUCUGUGCGCGUCCACAGCUCUCACUCACCCUCCGGCUUCCUGUCGGGGCUUUCUCAGCCCCACCCCACGUUUGGACAUUUGGAGCAUUUCCUUCCCUGACAGCCGGACCUGGGACUGGGCUGGGGCCCUGGCGGAUGGAGACAUGCUGCCCCUGCUGCUGCUGCCCCUGCUGUGGGGGGGGUCCCUGCAGGAGAAGCCAGUGUACGAGCUGCAAGUGCAGAAGUCGGUGACGGUGCAGGAGGGCCUGUGCGUCCUUGUGCCCUGCUCCUUCUCUUACCCCUGGAGAUCCUGGUAU